AGCUGGUUCUCCCCGAAAACUAUUGAGGUAGUGCCUCGUGUGUCGCUCCAGGGGGUAGAGCACUGUUUUGGCUAGGGGGACAUGGAGUCUUACCAAACCAAGGCAAACUCCGAAUACCUGGAAGCGUGAGCACGGGAGACAGAGCACCGGGUGCUAACGUCCGGACUCAAAAGGGAAACAACCCAGACCGCCGGCUAAGGUCCCAAAUAACAGCUAAGUGGAAAACGAAGUGGAAAGGCCGUGACAACCAGGAAGUUGGCUUAGAAGCAGCCAUCCUUCAAAGAAAGCGUAAUAGCUCACUGGUCGAGUCCUUCUGCGCGGAAGAUGUAACGGGGCUAAGCUGUUAACCGAAGCCGCGGAUGCACUGGUUAUCCAGUGCGUGGUAGGGGAGCGUUCUGUAAGUCUGCGAAGGCGGUUCGAGAGGACUGCUGGAGAUAUCAGAAGUGCGAAUGCUGACAUGAGUAACGUUAAAGCAGGUGAAAAGCCUGCUCGCCGUAAGCCCAAGGAUUCCUGCUCUACGUUCAUCGGAGCAGGGUGAGUCGGCUCCUAAGGUCAGGCCGAAAGGCGUAGCCGAUGGGAAUCAGGUUAAUAUUCCUGAACCUGCGUCAGAUGCGAUGGGGGGACGGAGCAUGGAAGAUCAUCCGGGUGUUGGAAGUCCCGGUUGUUGAGCGUAGGAGGUCUGCAGGCAAAUCCGCAGACGCAUCUCCAAGGCAAAGACACGUGCCGCCACGGCGGCGAAGUGAUCGGAAGUGCUUCCAAGAAAAGCCUCUAAGCCCCAGUCUGACGCGGACCGUACCGCAAACCGACACUGGUGGGCGAGCUGAAUAUGCUCAGGCGCUUGAGAGAACUCGGGAGAAGGAACUCGGCAAAUUGACACCGUAACUUCGGAAGAAGGUGUGCCGUAGUACCGUGAGAGGAGAGACACCUUGAGCGGGAAACGGUCUCAGAGAAUAGGUGGCUGCGACUGUUUACUAAAAACACAGCACUCUGCAAAGUCGAAAGUCGACGUAUAGGGUGUGAUGCCUGCCCGGUGCUGGAAGAUUAAUUGAUGGGGUGAGAGCCCUUGAUCGAAGUCCCAGUAAACGGCGGCCGUAACUAUAACGGUCCUAAGGUAGCGAAAUUCCUUGUCGGGUAAGUUCCGACCUGCACGAAUGGCAUAACGAUGGCCACACUGUCUCCUCCUGAGACUCAGUGAAGUUGAAAUGUUUGUGAUGAUGCAAUCUACCCGCGGCUAGACGGAAAGACCCCAUGAACCUUUACUGCAGCUUUGCAUUGAACUGUGAACCGAUUUGUGUAGGAUAGGUGGGAGGCAGUGAAGCUAGGACGCCAGUGGCCU
rnacentral:rRNA from 1 species